rnacentral:lncRNA from 1 species
AAAAGAACUUCCCAUCCCGAGCUACAUCUUUUAAGAAUGCUCAGGGUCCCUGAUAUUCUGCCACCCUAAGGAUUAAGGCUGCGGAAGCCUAUUCUAGCAGGAGAGAUGAUCCUCGUUUGUACUGAUCUCAGGAGGACUGAUUUCAAGAUCUUAUAAGUGGACCUGAAGAGAUGUGAGCAAAUUCCUGGUGAAGGAGCAAUUUCCAGUAAAUGUUCUUGAUCUUCAAAAGCAGCAUAUACUAAAGAGACUCAAAACAAAAGACAUGACAAACUGCUUUGUUUGCAUCGAAUAUUUUAAAAUGCAUUUUAUUAUGUAUAAAGACAAUAUCAAGAUUUGUCUCCAGGUUCUAUUUUUGAUCAUGUAGGGUUUUAAACCACUGCCCUAUGCAAUGCUCAUUUCUCUUCCUCUGUUUCCAUCCAACCCCUCACAUUUGUUGCCCCUACCCUUGUCAUAGACUCACAUCCUAUAUGUGUCUCGUGUCAAACAGACUUCGUGGAAAGAAUACUUUGUUCUAGUUACACAAAACAAUGGUUUAAAUGACAGGGGUAAUUAACAUGUAUGGGUGACCAGAGAGUAGCAGCUGUCCUCAUCUGACACUCACAAUCAGAUGCUUCUCUCGCUCACACUGUGUCUCUCUCCUUCCUGUCCUAAGCUGGGG